rnacentral:rRNA from 1 species
UACGUAGGGUCCGAGCGUUGUCCGGAAUUACUGGGCGUAAAGAGCUCGUAGGUGGUUUGUCGCGUUGUUCGUGAAAACUCACAGCUUAACUGUGGGCGUGCGGGCGAUACGGGCAGACUUGAGUACUGCAGGGGAGACUGGAAUUCCUGGUGUAGCGGUGGAAUGCGCAGAUAUCAGGAGGAACACCGGUGGCGAAGGCGGUUCUCUGGGCCUGUACUGACGCUGAGGAGCGAAAGCGUGGGGAGCGAACAGG